rnacentral:rRNA from 1 species
AUUGAACGCUGGCGGCAGGCCUAACACAUGCAAGUCGAACGAGUGGCGGACGGGUGAGUAAUGUCUGGGAAACUGCCCGAGGGAGGGGGAUAACUACGGGAAACGGUAGCUAAUACCGCAUACCAUCGGAUGUGCCCAGAUGGGAUUAGCUAGUAGGUGGGGUAACGGCUCACCUAGGCGACGAUCCCUAGCUGGUCUGAGAGGAUGACCAGCCACCCUGGAACUGAGACACGGUCCAGACUCCUACGGGAGGCAGCCGUCGGGAAUAUUGCGCAAUGGGCGCAAGCCUUAUGCAGCCAUGCCGCGUGUAUGAAGGAGGCCUUCGGGUUGUAAAGUACUUUCAGCGAGGAGGCGUUACUCGCAGAAGAAGCACCGGCUAACUCCGUGCCAGCAGCCGCGGUAAUUC